UGCAGUCGACGACUCUGGUAUUGAUUGGUGCUUGCAUCAUGAUUUACAUUUGAGUGAGUGGCGAACUGGUGAGUAACACGUGGGAAACCUGCCCAGAAGCGGGGGAUAACACCUGGAAACAGAUGCUAAUACCGCAUAACAACUUGGACCGCAUGGUCCGAGUUUGAAAGAUGGCUUCGGCUAUCACUUUUGGAUGGUCCCGCGGCGUAUUAGCUAGAUGGUGGGGUAACGGCUCACCAUGGCAAUGAUACGUAGCCGACCUGAGAGGGUAAUCGGCCACAUUGGGACUGAGACACGGCCCAAACUCCUACGGGAGGCAGCAGUAGGGAAUCUUCCACAAUGGACGAAAGUCUGAUGGAGCAACGCCGCGUGAGUGAAGAAGGGUUUCGGCUCGUAAAACUCUGUUGUUAAAGAAGAACAUAUCUGAGAGUAACUGUUCAGGUAUUGACGGUAUUUAACCAGAAAGCCACGGCUAACUACGUGCCAGCAGCCGCGGUAAUACGUAGGUGGCAAGCGUUGUCCGGAUUUAUUGGGCGUAAAGCGAGCGCAGGCGGUUUUUUAAGUCUGAUGUGAAAGCCUUCGGCUCAACCGAAGAAGUGCAUCGGAAACUGGGAAACUUGAGUGCAGAAGAGGACAGUGGAAACUCCAUGUGUAGCGGUGAAAUGCGUAGAUAUAUGGAAGAACACCAGUGGCGAAGCGGCUGUCUGGUCUGUAACUGACGCUGAGGCUCGAAAGUAUGGGUAGCAAACAGGAUUAGAUACCCUGGUAGUCCAUACCGUAACGAUGAUGCUAAGUGUUGGAGGGUUUCCGCCCUUCAGUGCUGCAGCUACGCAUAGCAAUCGCUGGGG
rnacentral:rRNA from 2 species